rnacentral:lncRNA from 1 species
CUUUUCCCCUUUUGCUCAGCACUUCUCCUUCCUGCCUGCCACCAUGUGAAGAAGGAUGUGUUUGCUUCCCCUUCCACCAUGACUGUAAGUUUCCUGAGGCCUCCCCAGCCAUGCUGAACGUUCUCAGCGGGAUCCUUGAGUGGAGGGGCACUUUGGACAUCUCAAGUUUUCUCUCUGUGCACCUCUGGUCCACCUUAUACUCCAUUGCAAGAAGGUGUACUGAGCCCUGUUGCUCCAUACUGGCCAAAAGUGGAAAACCUCAAACCCAAGCCUUCUCCACCACCCCCGAGGCCUCCUGUGCCGACUUCUAUCAAGGAGGCCUAUAUUGGAAUCAUCUGACCCCUUGUCUGUAUGACUCAUGAGAGCCAUGGUAAAAUAAAAAUUCAAUCUCUGAGUCACCAGUCCCUAGCACAGAGGCCUGGCUCACUUGAGAUUCUAGGGAAGCUUUGCUGGUUGAAUAAACGUAUGUGUGGAUGCAAGUCCUGGCUCAAAAAUCUAAGGUCCUCUAAGAACACAGGUCCCUAGCGCCAUUCCGAAAGGCUCGACCCAAGGCCUGCACUGAACUUGAGAACAAAAUCUAAACUCUUCACUAGCCAGGAGAAUUGGGGACUUUGUUUCCCCUUAACGACAGUAAGAAGAGAACCCAAACCAAAGCCUAGAAUAAGAAGUGAUUUGAUAAACUGGACAAACACCCUGGGAAAUGGCAAUUAGAAUAACUUGCAAUUUCAAUCACUCCUUUGUUUCAUAAUUUUCCUAGAAGCUAAAUAUUUUUCUAUUUGGUACAAGGGGAUUUUCCUGGCCAUCUCUUCAAAAGAUAGGAAAUUAAUAAUAUUGGGUCUUGCGAGUAUUCACUUAAGUUUAGAUAAUUUCUGUCAUUUCCUGUUUAAAAUCUCCCUAAUAACAAGAACAUGCAGUAACAAGUUUUUUGGCAUUUUUCUUAAAUGAAGAUAGGACAAAAUAGAUUGUUCUACCCUGUUCACCCUGGCCAUAACCAUAUCUAGGUGCAAAGAAAUGGUACACAGUGUGAAGAAUAAAUCAAUUCCUAGACACAUUCUACAGGACUUUCCUAAAUUAGAUCAUAACAAUUUUAAAGGUCAAAUAAAGGCAAAAACACUUUCAGUCUUAGUACCAAGGCAUCAUGUGGCUCCUUGCAGUGAGCUGUGAAACUUCCCCACCAACAUGAAAGCUUACAGUCAAGACUCACAGGAGAAAAAAAGAGAAAAGGACUAAAUUGUCGUGUAAAUAAGAGAUUCAGGAUUAACACAAGCAUUCUUUUAUUUUUUUGAGAUGGGGGUUCACUGUGUUGCCCAGGCUGGAGUGCAGUGGUGCAACCUCAGCUCACUGCAACCCCCACC